GGACUACCCGGGUAUCUAAUCCUGUUCGCUCCCCUGGCUUUCGCGCCUCAGCGUCAGGUACCAUCCAGGACACUGCCUUCGCCUUUGGUAUUCCUCCGGAUAUCUACGCAUUUCACCACUCCACCCGGAAUUCUAUGUCCCUCUCUGGUCCUCAAGUCCGCCAGUUUUCAGAGGCCUUGCUCAGUUAAGCUGAACACUGUCACUCUAAACUUGGCAGACCGCCUGCACGCCCUUUACGCCCAGUAACUCCGGACAACGCUCGCCCCCUACGUAUUACCGCGGCUGCUGGCAC
rnacentral:rRNA from 1 species